AUGGAUUUGAAUUUGAUGCCGGAAGAGGAGGACGGAACUCAAGAAGAACAAGCUCAACAGGGUGACGUUAUUGAUUUGAAUUUGAUGCCGAAAGAGGAGGACAAAGCUCAAGAAGAAGAACAAGCUCAACAGGGUGACGCUAUUGAUUUAAACUUGAUGCCGGAAGAUGAGGAUGAAGACAUUGAAUUGAAUUGGUUUCCUGAAGAGGAAGAAGCUCAAGAGGCACAAGAAGACGCAGAAUUGGAAGAAGCUCAAUAUGCACAAGAAGAUGCAGAAGUUCAAGAAGCUCAAGAUGCACAAGAAGAUGAAGAAGUGCAAGAAGCUGAUGCACAUGGCAAUCCAAGAGGGAAGGACUUGACAGACAAGGAGAGACACGGUGUUUACUUUGCUCUGCGAGUAAUCGAGCUUAGAGAUGGACAGGUUCACGUGUAUGACAAGGUGCUCAUCGCGACUAUGCUGAAUGUUCACCUGCGAACAGUUACAAGAAUAUGGAAUCUAGCCAAACGACAACUUGCAGCAGGCCAAGAAGUUGAUGUUUCAAGCAAGAAGAAUAAAAGUGGUAGGAAGAGAAAAGAACUAGAUCUGUCGAGAACAGCCACAAUCCCUUUGAACAAAAGAAGAACAAUCCGUUCUCUAGCAAGGUGUUUAGGUGUGCCCCGUUCAACCCUACAUGACAGAUUUCAAUUGCAAGAGCUAAAACGCAUCACAAGCACCAUCAAACCCACCCUCAAGCCACAGAACAAGAUAGCGAGACUAAAGUUCUGCCUAUCCAUGAUGGAUGAAAGAUGGAUAUCAAGUCCUUGGCCCAGUUUCAAGCCAAUGACAAAUAUGGUCCACAUCGAUGAGAAAUGGUAUGACAUGACCCGAGUGAAGAGUAGCUACUACGUACUGCCUGGAGAAGAAGAACCAAAUCGAACUGUGCACAAUACACAUAGCAUUGGGAAGGUAAUGUUUCUAACAGCUGUGGCCAAACCUCGCUACAAUGACGAUGGGGAGAUGACAUUUGAUGGAAAACUUGGCAUUUGGCCGUUCGUGGUAGAGACCGAGGCACAACGAAGAAGCCAGAACAGAGACAGGGGGACAAUAGAGUUGAGGCCGGUCAAAGUUACUAGACCUGUGUGCAGAGAUUACCUGAUCAAUAAAGUAAUCCCUGCCAUUCAAGACAAAUGGCCUGACGGUGACGAGGACACAACGAUCUUAAUUCAACAAGAUAAUGCAACACCGCAUGUCCUCCCUAAUGAUGCUGGUUUUCUAGAGGCCGUGGCACAGACAGAUCUGGAUAUUCGAUUAUUGCAACAACCACCGAACAGCCCUGAGCUCAAUGUUCUAGAUCUUUGUUUCCACUGCUCCCUCCAAUCCCUAACCGACUGCAGAGCGCCUAUGAAUAUACAGGAACUGGUACAGGGUGUAGAGGAGGAGUUUGAGAACUACGAUCCCCAUAAGCUGUUCAAAAGCUUUAUGACGUUGCAAGCAGUCAUGGUGGAAGUGAUGAAAGAUCAAGGAGGAAACAACUACAAGAUGCCGCAUCUGCAUAAGGAACGUCUACAGAAUGCUGGAGAGGAAAUAACCGGUGUAUACUGCAGUCCGGAGCUAAUUACUGACACCAAGGCCAUUAUAGAACAAGGAAAUGAGUAG
rnacentral:rRNA from 1 species